AUAGUUCAAGGGGGCCGAAUACUUACGCAAGGCACUGUAAUACAUUUUUCGUUGCAAAACAUUUUUUUAUGUUUUCCUUUGCUUGCCCCAAUGAACACGGACCAGAUGUUUUGUAAUGUUGAGUAAGCUGGGUUCUGUUUCUGCUUCAGUCAACUUGUCAUUGUCUUACUGUUGUUGGCAAUGCAACAGUGUAGCAUGGUGUUAAAUAAAGAAACAGUCAGGUACUCUGGCUUGUGUUCCUUAGGCACCAAACAGAAGAAAACAGACAAACAGGGAGGGACUACCCUAGAAACACUUGUUUUCAUUUUCCGAUGCAAACUAUUUUGCUCUCAUGAAUACGACCCAGGCUGAAAUCAUUUCUUCCUUGUAUGAGGUAGUCUACAACAGGGAUCUCCAAAGAGUUAACACGACUCACGUCUGCUGCAAUGAGAAAAAGAGGAUCUUGGAACUUAACUUAAUACUGUUUAUGUAUUUAGAGUAUCCUAUUUAUGUAUUUGCAUAAUCCUAUUUAGUAUUUAUCAGUCAGAGUUAUGUAUUUAAUUUUCACCAAGAUUAUUAUUAUUGAAGUGAGCCUUGAAAGUUUGAACAGUAACUGAAAAAAAAAAUAAUGUUAUUUCUUCAAAGAUUGAUUUAUUGUGGCAGGCUGUGUGUGUACAUGUUUUUGUGUGUGUGCUGGUCUUUGUGUGUGUGUGUAUAUGUGUGUGUCCUAGCUAUGCUUGGUCCAUGGGAAUAGCCUCAGCCUUCAGUUGUUUAGCAACAGAGUCCAUGUUGUCCCUCAGUCCCAGUAAACACUAUGGACACCAGUUCAUCUGAGGUGCUCCACCUUCCCUGUGGCCGACAUGGUUGCUGUAUGGACAGUGGAGAGGACAUGGACGUCUCGUUUGUCAUGCCACAUUACUGCCAGCUGUUGACCGUUCUCCUUGAACUCCACCUCCCCUCUCUGCAUCUUCCUGCAUCCAAAUGCCGGCAUCCACUUCCUGUUCGACCUGACUGCGCAACAGGCCACUGUGCUGUUGGAGAGCAGAUGCUGGAAGAGUGUGGGACUGCUGUACCAAUUGUCCACAUACAAAGUGUGUGACAUCGCAGCAGAACUAGGAAGCGGUCUUGGGAAAAGAGGGUGGCAAAGAAGGGAGAUGCAAAAAUAGGAUCUGUGCUCCAGUAUUCUCCUAGGGAGUUAUGCUUUACUAUCAUGAGAACGACUGUCACCAAGAAGGUAUACAUUUUCACUAAUUGUAGUUAUCACCCAUUUAGCAAGUUCCCCCCCCCCCCGAUCGGUCUCUACUCUGUCUACCACCAGCUCCUCUGUCAGAAACAUCUUGAAGCACUUUGCCUCAGAUGGAAAUGGCAAGGGGCGUUGCACUCCAGACUGGGACUCAUUAAAGCAGACAGCAGGGCCAGGAGGGGUGAAAUGGCUGUCAGACUUCCAGCUACCACAUAACUCCUGUACUUCAUCCACUGUCUGUCUGCCUCCAUCACCACCAGCAUCUUCAAAGGGAACUGGGACUUCAUCAGUGGACAAGGGAUCCUCAGAUUCAGGGUUCUCAAUGGCUACAAGGUUGGGGGGGCAUCUUGUCACUGUCACUGUCAGAAUCUGCUUCCUGACUUUCAUACUCAAACUUAUUGUCAGAAAUUGAAAAAAAUAUCCAGAAUUUAUGAGUUGUCUCCUUUUGAAAGACAUUGCUAAUGUUACAGCUUAGCUUACUAGCUACCUACAUAAACAACAGUGAAAGAUUACGUGAUUGACUGCCGGCACGCGCCACUUGUAUCGAUAAAUCACUAUCAGAAAAUGUUUUGUGUGGUAAUUAUUUAUAUAUUUACUGUUUUAUUCACAUGUUUUCAAGUGCCAGUCACAAAUCAUGCAUUCCAAUUAAUGUAUAGAUUGUAAUGGGCACAUAUUAUGUGUGUGAGUAAGGGUUCACUCAUUUUUUUGAGAACUUACGGAAGUGAAUGGUGGGAUGUGAAUGAUGGUAGAUGCAUACUUCAACAUGCAUACUAUAAACAGACCAAACUCAUCUUGUCAUCUCUCAUUAUCUUUGGUUUCUGUGAGAGAAAACAAGCAUGGCAGCGCGUGGAAACUACCCAUCGUAGGAUUACUUUCAAAUACUAGAGAGUGUUUUACUCAAUUAUUUCGAUCAAUUAUGAGCUCACCCAUGAUGUGAUUAAUUAUAAAUAGUAAUUGCUAUUAGCUAAUUCAUAUUGUAGUUUCUGUCAACCGAGAGUUACACAAAUAUAACCGUUUGUGUUACGUCAAUCUUUUCCUCAAUUAGCGCAAGGACAAAUGAACCCAACAUUUACCGGUUUGGAUGAGUGUUAUGCUGUAGAUACUACUGUGUAUGUCUGAACAGUGCAUCCAAAAAUAAACUGCUCACAUUCUGGACAUAACUUUGUAUGGCCUGUGUUUACGCUAAAUGUUUCUGAAAAAACAGUUUGGCCAGCUCAAAUGCAUUUUGUUGCAUCAAUCGAUACUGGCCAUUCUAAAUAAGUGUUCUCAAUAAGCGUUCUAAUCACACCGGUUUGAUCGUAUGCUACAGGGACCACUGUAGAAUGAUCACACCCAUGUGUUGGUACGUGUGAAAAGGUUAAAUCUCCAUCUUGUGUAACACGUGUUGGUCCGUUAGGGACCUGUUACCAUUUUAUAAGUUCUAACCAAUAACCUAGACUGUUUGUGUAUGUGUAUCUUAUAUUAUAUAAUUUAUCUUGAUAGUAAAUAAAUAAUCAACUCAA